rnacentral:rRNA from 1 species
AGAUUGAACGCUGGCGGAGUGCUUUACACAUGCAAGUCGAACGGCAGCACGGGACUCAGGCAACUGAGCCCUGGUGGCGAGUGGCGAACGGGUGAGUAACAUAUCGGAACGUACCCAGUCGUGGGGGAUAACUCUCCGAAAGGAGAGCUAAUACCGCAUACGUCCUGAGGGAGAAAGCGGGGGACCUAAGGGUAACUGAGGGCCUCGCGCGAUUGGAGCGGCCGAUAUCGGAUUAGCUAGUUGGUGAGGUAAAGGCUCACCAAGGCGACGAUCCGUAGCGGGUCUGAGAGGACGACCGCCACACUGGAACUGAGACACGGUCCAGGCUCCUACGGGA